rnacentral:rRNA from 1 species
AGUUUGAUCCUGGCUCAGGACGAACGCUGGCGGCAGGCUUAACACAUGCAAGUCGCACGAGAACGUUCUGACUUUGCCAGCACAAGUACAGUGGCGGACGGGUGCGUAUCGCGUAGAUAACCUGCCCUCAGGCGCGGGACAAUCACGGGAAACCGUGGCUAAUACCGCACGUCGUCUGGACCCCGCAUGGGGACCAGAUGAAAGCCUUCGGGCGCCUUUGGAUGGGUCUGCGUUGGAUUAGCUUGUUGGUGAGGUAACGGCUCACCAAGGCAACGAUCCAUAGCUGGUCUGAGAGGACGAUCAGCCACACUGGGACUGAGACACGGCCCAGACUCCUACGGGAGGCAGCAGUGGGGAAUAAUGCACAAUGGGGUCACCCCUGAUGCAGCCAUGCCGCGUGGAGGAAGACACCCCUAUGGGGCGUAAACUCCUUUUCUGAAUGAAGAAACCCCUGUAGGUUCAGGGCGUGACGGUAGUUCA